AGGCUCAUGUAGAGUGGCUGCUGGGAGCGGAAGUGCCGCAGUCCAGCCCCGGAACAGUUGCGCUGCUCGCAAUGGCCUAGGCACUCUCUGUAGACGGGCUCCCGGUCUCCCCGCGACCCUUGCACAGGGGCCGGGCCAGUCGCCGCCGCCCCCAGGAGAAGCAGCACCGCCGUUCGAGCCGCCAUCCCGCCUCCCGGGAGGCAAGAAGCACCGCUUCCGGUACACGGCGGAAGUUAUCCGUUUAAUAAUCUUCCUCCAGGUGUACUGCCGCUGCAAAAUCAUUCCGCCCUGCUCAAUUCUUCCAUCUCCCACCAUUUAGCAUCACCACAAGCUUCUUCUGACCCUCUAGGCAACUCUGCCCCCAGCUUUACAUCAUCUUGUCUGCCUGAAAUGAGCUUACUGCUCCCACCCACCUCCUUGUGCAUCUUUGGGCCUAACAACAUGAUACAGCAUUCUAGGGUCCAGCAAGCGGGAAAUGUGCUAAGUCCAGAAGUAAAGCUCAUCCUUAGGUGAAUGGAGGCCAGUUCAGCGAACAACCUGAAACAGCCUUGAGGAACCACUGUUUGGCCUGUUGGGGUCAUGCCAUGUACUGAUGAGGCAAAUGGUUUUUUCUCCCACCCUGGACAUUCCACUGGUAUAUAUACUGCAC